AUUGAACGCUGGCGGCAGGCCUAACACAUGCAAGUCGAACGAGUGGCGGACGGGUGAGUAAUGUCUGGGAAACUGCCCGAUGGAGGGGGAUAACUACUGGAAACGGUAGCUAAUACCGCAUACCAUCGGAUGUGCCCAGAUGGGAUUAGCUAGUUGGUGGGGUAACGGCUCACCUAGGCGACGAUCCCUAGCUGGUCUGAGAGGCUGACCAGCCACACUGGAACUGAGACACGGCCCAGACUCCUACGGGAGGCAGCAGUGGGGAAUAUUGCACAAUGGGCGAAAGCCUGAUACAGCCAUGCCGCGUGUAUGAAGAAGGCCUUCGGGUUGUAAAGUACUUUCGGCGGGGAGGCGUUACCCACAGAAGAAGCAACGGCUAACUCCGUGCCAGCAGCCGCGGUAAUUC
rnacentral:rRNA from 1 species